rnacentral:lncRNA from 10 species
GGUUUCAUCUCAAGGUGACCACACAAUCAUUGGGAAGGAAAAAGGAGGGUCUGAGGGCUUCAUCCAGGUUUACAGCCCAAGAAAGUCCUGCCCACAGAGGGUUUGCAUCUGUGCUGGUCCCGUCAUGAGUAAAUCUUGCCUGCUUGAGCUGGCGAGGAGUGGGAAGGAGGAGGAGGGGAGAGAGAAGUAGCGGGACAGAGGGAGGUAAGAGUCAGAAAGACACACAGUGACAAGGAAUCACAGAAAGAUGCACUCAGGGA